UCAGAGUUCACUCGUGGAGCUGGAAGAGGAGUGGCCUCUCCGAUGCCACACUCUCCUGUGGUAUUGGGGCAAAGUGAGAAUGAAUAUGUUUACAAACCAGAAGAGAAGGUAGACUGAGAGUUAGAAGUCAACAAUGAAGAAACAGCAGAGGAGAAAACUAGUUCAUAUCUGGAAUGUCACCCAAAGGCCCAUGUCCCCAGCCCAUGGUACCAUUGGGAAGUGGUGACACCUUUAAGAGUCCGACCUUCAGAGACAACAUGAGAUCCCAGUCUUUUGUCUGCAAUUUACUUCCUGGCCACAGGUGAGCAGCUUUGUUCAUGAGGUGCAUGAGGUGCUGCCUUGACACAACCCCCAAAAGAACCAGGCUACUCAACCAUAAACAAUGACCUCCAAAAAGAUGUGUGGGACACUCAGCUUUUCUCUUACUCAGUUAAUUAUGUCAAGGAUUAAAGCCAAUGCUUGGGAGAGCAAUGGUUGUAAAUACCAUCUGCAAAAGAGAAAGCCAGAAAACGACUUAAACAUUUACCAAGAUGGCCUCUCUACCAUGGCAUCAUCUCUAAACAUGCAACCAGCUGACCUAUGGGGUUGAGAGGAAUAUCAGUAAGAAAUUAACAUCCCUUCCACACAAAUCUGUUUUAGUAACUAUAGCCGGAAAGUGGUCCUUUUUCCUGACUACACACUGGACCCGAACCUAAUGUGGUAAUAAGAUUCUUUAUGUUACCAAGCUGACACACUGGUCAUUUUAUGAUCAUCCCAUAAAACUUCCCAAUAAAAAAUAUUUUCUGUCUCA